GAUGAACGCUAGCGGUAGGCUUAACACAUGCAAGUCGAGGGGCAGCAUGGUCUUAGCUUGCUAAGACUGAUGGCGACCGGCGCACGGGUGCGUAACGCGUAUGCAACUUGCCUCACAGAGGGGGAUAACCCGUCGAAAGACGGACUAAUACCGCGUACACUUGGGAUAGGGCAUCCUGACCCAAGGAAAUGAAAUUCGCUGUGAGAUAGGCAUGCGUCCCAUUAGCUAGUUGGUGAGGUAACGGCUCACCCAGGCGACGAUAGGUAUGGGAACUGAGAGGUUGAUACCCGACACGGGAGCUGAGACACGGACCAGAGUCCUACGGGACGCAGCAGUGUGGUAUAGUGGGCAAUGGGGGAGAGCCUGAGCCAGCCAAGUCGCGUGAGAGAGGACUGUCUUAUGGAUGGUAAGCAUGUUUUAUGCGGGAAAAGCAAGAUCAACGUGUGGCUCCCUGAAUGUACCGUAUGAAUAAGCACCGGCUAACUCCGUG
rnacentral:rRNA from 1 species